UACGUAGGGUGCAAGCGUUGUCCGGAAUUAUUGGGCGUAAAGAGCUCGUAGGCGGUUUGUCGCGUCGGCUGUGAAAACCUGGGGCUUAACUCCGGGCCUGCAGCCGAUACGGGCAGCUAGAGUUCGGCAGGGGAGACUGGAAUUCCGUGGUGUAGCGGUGAAAUGCGCAGAUAAUCAGGAGGAACACCGGUGGCGAAGGCGGGUCUCUGGGGCCGAUACUGACGCUGAGGAGCGAAAGCGUGGGGAGCAAACAGG
rnacentral:rRNA from 1 species